CCUACGGGAGGCAGCAGUGGGGAAUAUUGGGCAAUGGAGGCAACUCUGACCCAGCAACGCCGCGUGAAUGAUGAAGGUCUUCGGAUUGUAAAGUUCUUUUGUCAGGGACGAAGCAAGUGACGGUACCUGACGAAUAAGCCACGGCUAACUACGUGCCAGCAGCCGCGGUAAUACGUAGGUGGCAAGCGUUAUCCGGAUUUACUGGGUGUAAAGGGCGUGUAGGCGGGGAGGCAAGUCAGAUGUGAAAACCACGGGCUCAACCUGUGGCCUGCAUUUGAAACUGUUUUUCUUGAGUGCUGGAGAGGCAAUCGGAAUUCCGUGUGUAGCGGUGAAAUGCGUAGAUAUACGGAGGAACACCAGUGGCGAAGGCGGAUUGCUGGACAGUAACUGACGCUGAGGCGCGAAAGCGUGGGGAGCAAACAGGAUUAGAUACCCUAGUAGUC
rnacentral:rRNA from 1 species